rnacentral:rRNA from 1 species
UACGAAGGGGGCUAGCGUUGUUCGGAAUCACUGGGCGUAAAGCGCACGCAGGCGGAUUGAUAAGUCGGGGGUGAAAUCCCGGGGCUCAACCUCGGAAUUGCCUUCGAUACUAUCUGUCUUGAGUCCGGGAGAGGUGAGUGGAAUUCCUAGUGUAGAGGUGAAAUUCGUAGAUAUUAGGAAGAACACCAGUGGCGAAGGCGGCUCACUGGCCCGGUACUGACGCUCAUGUGCGAAAGCGUGGGGAGCAAACAGG